CCUACGGGGGGCUGCAGUGGGGAAUUUUGGACAAUGGGCGCAAGCCUGAUCCAGCCAUUCCGCGUGAGUGAAGAAGGCCUUCGGGUUGUAAAGCUCUUUCGCAAGGGAAGAAAACUUAUCCUCUAACAUAGGAUGAGGUUGACGGUACCUUGAUAAGAAGCACCGGCUAACUACGUGCAAGCAGCAGCGGUAAUACGUAGGGUACGAGUGGUAGUCGGAAUUGCUGGGGCUAAAUUGUGCGUAAGAUGUUAAAUCCCCGAGCUCAACUUGGGAACUGCGUUUGAAACUACAAGACUAGAAGAGGUCAGAGGGGGGUAGAAUUCCACGUGUAGCAGUGAAAUGCGUAGAGAUGUGGAGGAAUAUCAAUGGCGAAGGCAGCCCCCUGGGAUCAUAUUGACGCUCAUGCACGAAAGCGUGGGGAGCAAACAGGAUUAGAUACCCCUGUAGUC
rnacentral:rRNA from 1 species